rnacentral:rRNA from 1 species
AUUGAACGCUGGCGGCAUGCCUUACACAUGCAAGUCGAGCGGCAGCGCGGACUUCGGUCUGGCGGCGAGUGGCGAACGGGUGAGUAAUACAUCGGAACGUACCCUGUUGUGGGGGAUAACUAGUCGAAAGAUUAGCUAAUACCGCAUACGACCUGAGGGUGAAAGUGGGGGACCGCAAGGCCUCACGCAGCAGGAGCGGCCGAUGUCUGAUUAGCUAGUUGGUGGGGUAAAGGCCCACCAAGGCGACGAUCAGUAGCUGGUCUGAGAGGACGAUCAGCCACACUGGGACUGAGACACGGCCCAGACUCCUACGGGAGGCAGCAGUGGGGAAUUUUGGACAAUGGGGGCAACCCUGAUCCAGCAAUGCCGCGUGUGUGAAGAAGGCCUUCGGGUUGUAAAGCACUUUUGUCCGGAAAGAAAUCGCGCUGGUUAAUACCUGGCGUGGAUGACGGUACCGGAAGAAUAAGCACCGGCUAACUACGUG